ACAUCUCACUCUUUUAUUUCAGGAAACUGAGAGAUGUGCAUCUGUGCAAUAUAUUUGCUCAGCUCAGCAUAGUCUCAACUAAGUCCUGAAGCUGCUUGUGGAUAUGGUACAACAUCAUCAACGAUGAAGAGGAUAAGGGGUUAAUCGUGCCAGGCAAUGUGGGUGGUGGUAGGCUUGGUCUUCGUCUUCGGCACUUUCGUUGGCCCCAGUGCAGUGCGGGUGAGGCAAUGCUGUUUGGCAUGAGCUACGAAAUAGCCAUGCCUCAUGUUUUAUGAGCCCAGAUGUUCCUCUUUAACAUUUGGAUGGGCAACCUGUUGCAAGUGCUCAAGGGGUGUUCGGAGCAUAUACUUCCCAAGGUCGACAUUGUGAUGCAUGGCAGUUAGUUUAGAAGUGUUUUGUAUAGCAACACUAGCUGACAUGUAGUCUGGUCUGUAGCUGAUUGUAUAUGCAUGUCGAAAUAUCCUGACCAUUUUAUGCAACUUAAUCUAGCUUUUUAUUGGAUUGAUGGGUGGUAUGAAUAUGAUGCAUGAUAAAUAAUUUUGA